rnacentral:rRNA from 1 species
UUUUAUUCGAGAGUUUGAUCCUGGCUCAGGAUGAACGCUGGCGGCGUGCUUAACACAUGCAAGUCGAACGGAGCACCCCUGAAAGAGUUUUCGGACAAUGGAAGGGAAUGCUUAGUGGCGGACUGGUGAGUAACGCGUGAGCAACCUGCCUAUUAGAGGGGAAUAACAGUGAGAAAUCAUUGCUAAUACCGCAUAAGCGCACAGUACCGCAUGGUGCAGUGUGAAAAACUCCGGUGGUAUAUGAUGGACCCGCGUCUGAUUAGCUUGUUGGCGGGGUAACGGCUCACCAAGGCGACGAUCAGUAGCCGGACUGAGAGGUUGGCCGGCCACAUUGGGACUGAGAUACGGCCCAGACUCCUACGGGAGGCAGCAGUCGGGAAUAUUGCGCAAUGGAGGAAACUCUGACGCAGUGACGCCGCGUAUAGGACGAAGGUCUUCGGAUUGUAAACUAUUGUCGUUAGGGAAGA